GCCCGGUCAGGGGAGCCAGCGGCGGCAGCUGGUGGGCCGGCGCGCCGCUUGAGAUUCUCUCCGGGGGCCCCCAGGUGUUGUGGGUGCUGGGCGGGGCCUCUCCGAUAAUGGCAGGGAAAGACUCUGCCUGCGGCCAGGACUGAACUCUAGAGUUUCUCCCCCGGGCCGUGUAGCCAAUCGCUGGAGCUCCACUCAGCCCCAGACCUCUCCCAGGAGAUCUCCGGUAGUCUCGAUCCCCUCCUGGACGAAAACCAGGUCAGGGGAGCCGGCGGCGGCAGCUGGUGGGCCAGCGCGCCGCUUGGGAUUCUCUCCGGGGGGCCCCCAGGCUUUGUGGAUGCUGGACGGGACCUCUCUGCUAAUGGCAGCGUUUCCUCUCCCAGGACCAAGCCUGUGGAACUGGGGCAGAGACACAGCUCACUGGUGGACCUCUUGCUGCACUCAGACGCGUUCUGUCUACCCCUGUGUCUAAGGCUUUGUCCAUGGGUCUGACUUAACUUACUGGGUCCCUCUCCCCUUAAAAUGGG
rnacentral:lncRNA from 1 species